rnacentral:rRNA from 1 species
CCUACGGGCGGCUGCAGUGGGGAAUAUUGGACAAUGGGGGGAACCCUGAUCCAGCCAUGCCGCGUGUGUGAAGAAGGCCCUCGGGUUGUAAAGCACUUUCAGUGAGGAAGAACGCCUGGUGGUUAAUACCCAUCAGGAAAGACAUCACUCACAGAAGAAGCACCGGCUAACUCCGUGCCAGCAGCCGCGGUAAUACGGAGGGUGCGAGCGUUAAUCGGAAUUACUGUGCGUAAAGCGCGCGUAGGUGGCUUGAUAAGCCGGUUGUGAAAGCCCCGGGCUCAACCUGGGAACGGCAUCCGGAACUGUCAAGCUAGAGUGCAGGAGAGGAAGGUAGAAUUCCCGGUGUAGCGGUGAAAUGCGUAGAGAUCGGGAGGAAUACCAGUGGCGAAGGCGGCCUUCUGGACUGACACUGACACUGAGGUGCGAAAGCGUGGGUAGCAAACAGGAUUAGAUACCCCGGUAGUC